GGUUCUAUGGUGUAGUGGUCAUCACAUCUGCUUUACAUGCAGAAAGUCCUCGGUUCGACCUCCAGAGGAAACA
rnacentral:tRNA from 1 species